rnacentral:tRNA from 1 species
GUCCCUGCAGCGCAAUGGAUAGCGCAUUGCAGUUAUAAUCGAAAGGUCGUGGAUUCGAAUCCCACCUGGGAUG